AUAGCGUAUAUUAAAGUUGUUGCAGUUAAAAAGCUCGUAGUUGGAUUUCUGGUGUGGCGCGGCCGGCCCGCCGCCCUCUGGGCGUGUGAGUGUCGGUUCGCGUCUACCAUCCUUCUAGAGAGCGGCUCUGCCAUUCACUUGGUCGGGGUCGCGAUCUGGAUCUUUUACUUUGAAAAAAUUGGAGUGUUCAAAGCAGGCUAGCGCCACUGAAUACAUUAGCAUGGAAUAAUAAAAUAGGACUUUGGUUCUAUUUUGUUGGUUUCUAGGACUGAAGUAAUGAUUGAUAGGGAUAGUUGGGGGUGCUAGUAUUGAACGGCCAGAGGUGAAAUUCUUGGAUUCGUUCAAGACUAACUUAUG
rnacentral:rRNA from 1 species